GUGCUCAGUGCAUCACAUCUCUGCCUCACUGAUUCUGCACUGAUCCAGCCACCCUGGGAAGGGUUUUCCUGUCCCCUCACCAUGUUGUCUGGAGAGGAAGGAAGGGAGAGAACACCAAGAUAAGAUGGCCCUCUAUCCUUCUUCUCUUACUGAUGCUCUUGACCUGAGUUCCUUGGGUGCUCCUCUGCGAUCUACCAAGGUGCAAAAUUUGCAAAAUUAUCUCCUGCCUCCAAUCCCAGCCUUCUCCCAUCUGUGGGAUGCUCCCUCCAGUUCUGUCUGGCUUCACUGCAGAUAAAAGAAUGGGAAAACAAAUCCAUGUGCUGGAACCCUGUGGCUGUGCCUUCCCAAGAGUGUUUGGGGUGACCCCUGUGAUGUGCACUGCCCUCCUGAAGCAGCUGCUGGAAGAAUCACUCCCCUGUCCUGAGCUCACAGCUGCAGACUGGAGUAAUUUGCUGACGCUGUAGAAGGAAUUGUCUCUCCUGGAGACCUGGCUGGUGUGAUCAGAACUCACAUAUGGUACCAGAACAAAGGGCCCUUCAGGACCUUUGUGGUAUCUGCUGCAGUCCAAGAGCCUUGACCCCAACUUCUGAGGGAGGAAUCAGAAAAGUUCCUUCAAUUCAAAGAAACCAGUGGCAAUUUCUGGAAGAAGAAUGUUGAGACUCAAACCUGGACUUCCAGCCUGAAUGUCCAUCAGGCCUUGAUAACCAAAAUGCACCAGGAAGAGGAGCAAUAACUGCAUUGCUGUAUGCCAGAGAUCAAUGGGCAGAACACCCUGCAAGGGCCUGAGAGGGCUCCCAGCUUGCCUGAAAUUCAUGAAUCCAAAUGGAAAAGAGAAAAUGGCAAAUGACACUUAAUCCCAAAGUGAGCAAAGCUGUCCUUGUGUCCAGAGGAACAACUGACAGCUGACACAGGACUGGGAUCUCCAGGGAUCUCUGCAGGAGCAAUGUCUCCUCUGGGGAAGAUUAAAGCUUGGUGCAAACUCCAAGGUCACCUCUGUGUGAGCAGUGGGAAAGGGGCAGUGUAAAACCCGGGAUCACCUGAGCUCGCUGGCAUCCAGCUGCUUGGCAGUGCUGGGGUUUAUUGCCCUGGAGAUUCCACAAAGAGCAUUCACCCAUCAGGAGCUCUGGGCUCUGCAGAGUCUGAUGGAUAUCCUGAAAAAUUUUGGAGUGACAGUUUGGAGGGUAGCUGGCAAAACACGAGCCAGUAAGACAUUGUAGAACGAUGAGUUCACAAGCAGAAAUUUUUAGAGAGGGAAUUUGAGAAUGAAAGAGUAAUUCCACCAACCUUCACCAUUCAUUUAUUUAAAUUUUUGCUAUAAAAUGGACAGCAGAGGAAAGUCAAGACUUGCACUGAUGAUUUUUCAUUCUCUUCCCCCCCUGCCCCUGAUCUUUUAUUUAUUAAACUGCUCUGGGUGCGCCUUUCAAAUGACUUUUUUUGGCUUACUGUUUAUUAUGUCUUCAUCAGCCUUGAAAUGGCAGCUGCAGGCAGCUUGAUAAAUGGAUCGAAAAGCUGCUCCUGCCAGAGUCAAACUAACAAAAAGCCCUCAAUAUCCAUAAGCUUUUUUGUUUUAGCAUUUCUAAAACAAGCACUAUUUCCCUCAAAGCAUCACUGCAGAGUGAUGCACCAGUACCCCUGAGUGUUUCAACAAAGGGAUUUUUUUAUCCAGUGGUGCCCAGGGCAGAAGUUCCUCACUGGGUCAUGGACAGGAUUCAGCCUGCAGCUCUGGAGAGCAAGGGCAGAGAAAGAGAGAUAGAGAUGGAGAGAGAGAGAGAGAGAGAGAGAGGGAAAGAAAGAGAAAAAGAAAGAUGUGGUCUUAGGAAAGCUGAGAAAAUCUUCACUCCAAAAUGUGCUGGGCAGAUCAAUGGAGUAAAUGAGGCAAAAUGUAUGAAGUUGCUCACAGAGAUUUGCAGCUUCCAUGCAGCUAUUUUUUACCCAGAUGCUUUCUGAACUCUUCAUUUCCUCCCAAUCCUUCUUUAAAUAUGAACAGCUCAAUAUAUCCCUGGUUCAAACCUUUUGUCCUUACACAUUCCAUAAGUGUAUUAUGGACUAUAAUACACUUAUAUUCCACAGUUGGCCCAGCCUGGCAGUAAACAAGGGUUUAGCUACUGUGGCUUAUUGACAGUGGUGAAUGGUGCAGUCCCAUCUGUGAAGGUAUAAAAUACCCACAAGAAAAUAAAUACCCCAGAAGAAAGCGGUAAGGAACCGUCCAGGUGAAAACCUGCCAUGUUAUCUGUUUACAGCACAAAUGUUUCAGCAAAGGAAGGGUGAGGGGGGAAAAUUCACCACCAAAAAAUACCAAACCAAACAAACAAACAAACAAAAAAAAACCCAACAAACAAACAACUGAAAAAGGAAUGAAAGUGUGUGGCUUGUGAGAGGAAGGAAGAGCUCUAGUGGUGAAAACUGCCGGCAGAAUGACAGAGGCUUGUGCUCUGCUCCUCACUAAGGUUGUUUCAGCUCUACAUGCAAAGGUGAUGAAUAUGCAAAUAAAGAAUGUGAAUCUCCCCUGGCCUGAGCUGUUGGUGUAGAAUUUGGCACCGUGGAUCACCCUGACAGCAGUGCACCCCACUCUCCUGACACCUUCUCGGCACCCAGCAAGGUGUCUGUCUCUGCCAGAGUUCAUAAUCUUCCUGUCUCUGUCCUUACCCACUGGCUCUCUCUGGCUCUCUCUGGCUGUCUCUGCUGUCUGUGUCACCGAGGGGCUGCCAAGGUCCUGGCUGCUUAGGGACACACCUUCCCAGUAGUGAUUCCAGUGCCAUAGCCACGCUGUGGUUUUUCUUUCCUAAUUAUGGGGAGCCACAAUCACUGAGUUAUUGCAGUCACCCAGCCCUCUCUCCUUUUUUUUCUGUCUGCUCCACUGCCUCUUCAGAACUGCCUGGGUUCAGGAAUAAUUUUGCUGCUCCUUGGGGCAGGAGGUGAGUGUGGGACAGAGGGAUGGAUGCUGCUUUUCACUCCCUGGAAAGAUGUGGCUGCCCAAGGCUGUGCAGGCAGGAAUGUUAAUGGGAUAAGAGGUAAGAGAGCAGAAGGUAGCUGGACCCUGUGAUUCUCUGGUUAUUUAGAAUGCAUAAUUGCAGUUUGUUUAACACCAAAGGAUAACUGAUCAUUCACAGCAAAGAAGCCAGUGGUGCGGAUCAAUAUUUCUAUUGCCCUGCUGGAAAAAUAGCAGAAAAGGAAUGGCUCUUUAAUGAUUACAGCAGAGCAGAAGAAGCCUGUGCUAAAGGCUGUUUGUAGCAGGGGCCAGCAGAGGGUUUGUGCAGUGCUGGCUCUCAUUUCAGACUUGAGGUUCCCUGAAUGACUGUGGAUGAUGUACCCUGCACUCCAGAGGUGGCUUGGCUGGAGACAGGGCAGAGAACAGCUCUGCCAUCCUUGAUCUAGAGAGAAAAAUUAACUAAUCCUGAAGGUAAAAUAAGGAAUAUAUGUGGGACUGUUACUUGAGUAUAUCUCAACUGAGCAUUUCAGCCUUCAUUUUCUACUCACACCAUACUGCUGAAUAUUUUUUUCUGCAGGCAUAAGAGUUACUAAGAGCUGACUUCACUUGGCACAGCCAGAGCUGGAUUUGCACUGGCACCUGUGGGAUCCUGUGGUAGAAGCACAGACAAAUUUGGUAAAACACAGUUUUACCAAAAUGUUUAGCUGAAAGUUUUUGUUUCCAAUUAAAUAUUUGUUGAGCCUUUCUUGGAGGGUCGUAUGGAAUGAGGAAGUGACUCUUUGAAUGGGGUUCUGUGUAGGAAUUCUUUAUUAUAGGCACUGACAAGGAAUAUGGCUCUGAAUUAACUAUAUCUGAGCUUGUACUUGUUUUGGCCAUGAAUCAAUAUCCUGAUUUCUCAUCCAGAGCUUGCAUCUUGUAUAUAAUUAUUCUGCCAUGCCCCGUGAAACAAAAGACUGAGAACUGUCCCAGAACAAGAGUAAUUUCUAAGUCGGUUUGGAUGAGGUGGCCAAUCCUGACUGACCACCCCUGAACCUUGUGCUGAGCUUACCCAGCAAUAGGCCACUAAAUAGUUUAGAGGAAAAAAGAAAUGAAGAAUCUUUACAUCAUAAAUCAACACCGGGGGAGCUGGAGCAGGUUUUUUCUUGGGGUGUCCACAAAUGCAGGCUCAGAGCCCGAGGCUUCUGGCAAUCAGGGCACCGCAGGGCUCAGUCCCACAGGUUUCCCUGGCACAAGACUGACCUCCAGUGGCACUGACUUGUGUGGUUGGGCCGUGAAUCUGGGGAGGAUGUGUACAAAUGCUCUUUAGAGGCCACACGUUCAGUUUUCAGGGCAGAUAUUUGCUCCUUGCCUUCUUCAGACCUUUCCAGCAUAAGCACAGAUGUUGGGGACAGUCUCCUGCUGAGCUGGUAAAUGUGACGUGGUUCAGCUGAGGUGGAAAAUUCUGAAAAUGUUCUCAUUAAAUAGGAAGGAAAUAUCCUACCUCUGGCUUCUCUCCCUGCAGGCCAAAGUGGUGAGAAAGAAAGAAGCAAAAGAGAAAGGGAAGAAGCUGAAAUUUUUGGGGCAGAGUGAAUUUCACUCUGCCCCAAAAAUUUUCAA